AGGCCUCUCAAGAUGAUUUCUGAUGUGUGUGUGUUGGUGCAAGUGGAAAUAUUCUUGCGGGCCCCUCCAGACAACACAGAAGGAAUAGCCCCUAGGCGCAGCAUGAGGCGGAGAGGGAACAUCUUGGCCCAAACCACUUCGGCCCUAUGGAGCAGCAGACCGAAGAGGUACGGCUGACUGGGUAGGGGAAGACCCUGAAGGGACUGACGAGUGGGACGGACAAACAAGAAGCCCGCGUGUUCAUCACUGCCCAGGAAGCAGCCGGUGGACAGGGACAGUGACAGCACCCCCAUGUGGUCUGGAGGCCCUCCUGAGCUGUGGCGACCCUCCCGGACUUUUGACAGUCCCGCUGCGUGCCGCUCGGCUCCUCAAAGGUGGCAAAGCUGGCCCUCUGACCGGUGUGGCGGGAGCGGACUCUGACUGUUUUUGGAUCAGGAGCUCGUCUGCGAACCACACCCUCCUUCUCACCCUCGGCGAUGUGCCUGAUAAGAAAAGGCCAGGUGUUGGUGCUGUGAAAUGGAUGAAAGACUAAAAACGAGAAACAAUCAGUAAGUGGCUCACUUUUAAUGAGAGUUGAAUGACAGGAAACACAAACCCGCCCCUCCUUGCCGUCCAGAUGUGAAAGUCUGAACUUGAGGCCGGAGCAAAGUGCACAAAACACCUGACGACACACACGUGCGCAUGCACACACAUAUUGAAUGACUUGAAUAGUGCACCAAAAGCCAAAAGUGUGUGCGCCUCACCUUGCCACAGGCGCGACAGUGGUGCCUCCGCUUGGUAAACGUGAACUUGAUGCCGCACUUCAUGCACACGUGGGCCUCGGCGUCGGGGAUCCAGACCGGAGCCACCUCUCCCAAUGCGUCAGAUCGCUCCUUGCUCAUGAUCCCGACCGGACCGGACUCAUUGUCAGGAUUGACUGGCGAGGACGUGGAGGCUUUUCCCUCCUCUUCUCCAAUGGACAAAACAUCUUUAAGAUGAUUCUGGAAGUCUUCGGAUUCCUCCAUCUCCUUCUCCUCAAUCACCGAGUCUUCCUUGGAAGGCACAGUCUUAAGCUUGCCCUCCUCCUCGGCCAAACUCAGAACUAGAGGGCUGGGAGACUCCUCGCCUUGCCCUUCGACCCAUGGUGUCACCUUGCAGCCACCUUCCUCCACAUUGAGCAUCUUUGCAGGAGGUUUUUCUACACUCGGAGUGACCGUUUUAUCGGAGAAGGGCUUCGAAGGAGAGACUUCUGGUCUGAUUUGCCCUGAUUUGGACAUGUCUCCCGCAUCUUUGAGGACGAGGAGAUAUGGUCUGCUCAUCCAGGGCAGCUUGGUGUCACAGAGAGAUGGGUUGUCUCCUUCAUCUGUUUCGAAAAGAUCAUAUCAUUAUCAGUGUUGUGGGUUCCUCAUUACACAUCACUUGGACUGCUUGCACACUCACUCUGCCCUGUCACACCCUAGUCUGACCUAUCCUCCCUCUUCCUCUUCUAUUGGUUACUAGGUGUAACCCCUUACCGCAUAGUGUCCCUUCAUUAAGAUCGCCUUCAAGGGCUUGCAACACUAAUUACAACUAAAUAGCAUAUUUAUUCAGUUAUAUUUUCCCUUUGUUUUUUUCUCUGUCCCAUUUCUGUUCAGCUGCAUUUUCCUAAUAAACAACCACAAAGUGUGUACUGCAUACCAAACUCCCUCGCGGCACAUUAAAACUGGUUCAGCUUUUAACAACUUUCAGAUUUAUCAUUCCGCAUGUCCAAGAAGCUGUACAAGACAGGUUUAAAACAAACAAAAAAACUAAUGUUUUGUAUUCAAGGCCGGUCUCACACAUUUUGAGGUCAUUAAUUUUGUCAAAAUUCCAACUCCCAAAAGGCACUGUCAUACUCUCGAUUCCAAAGACUACUUCAAUUCGGAUUUUU